CUACCAUGGCAGUCACGGGUAACGGAGAAUUAGGGUUCGAUUCCGGAGAGGGAGCCUGAGAAACGGCUACCACAUCUACGGAAGGCAGCAGGCGCGAAAAUUGCCCAAUCCCGACACGGGGAGGCAGUGACAAGAAAUAACAACUCUAGCUUCUGCUAGAAGUGUAAUGAGGAUAAUUUACAAACCUUACCAAAUGCAAUUGGAGGGCAAGUCUGGUGCCAGCAGCCGCGGUAAUUCCAGCUCCAAUAGCGUAUAUUAAAGUUGUUGCAGUUAAAAAGCUCGUAGUUGAAGUUCUGAUUGCUCAGGCCUUCAGCCUAAGGCGGGGGUUCUGACAGUCAUCCGCUUGCAAGCAUAUGUUCGGCCUUAACAAGCUGGCUGUGUGAGUAAGCAUUUUACCUUGAGAAAAACAGAGUGUUCCAGGCAGGUUUGUCCGGGAUGCAUUAGCAUGGAAUAAUAGAACAUGACUGAAGUCUAUUUAUUGGUUUAAGGCUUUAGUAAUGAUUAAUAGGAACAGUCGGGGGCAUUCGUACUCAGCAGUCAGAGGUGAAAUUCUAAGAUUUGCUGAAGACGAACUAAUGCGAAAGCAUUUGCCAAGGAUGUUUUCAUUAAUCAA
rnacentral:rRNA from 1 species